AGCUUUGCGCAGUGGCAGUAUGGUAGCCGAUGAGGUUUAUCCGAGGCGCGAUUAUUGCUAAUUGAAUUCCACAUU
rfam:Mustela putorius furo unplaced genomic scaffold scaffold00043, whole genome shotgun sequence.